UACGUAGGGUGCAAGCGUUAAUCGGAAUUACUGGGGCGUAAAGCGUGCGCAGGCGGUUGUGGUAAGACAGAUGUGAAAUCCCCGGGCUCAACCUGGGAACUGCAUUUGUGACUGCACAGCUGGAGUGCGGCAGAGGGGGAUGGAAUUCCGCGUGUAACAGUGAAAUGCGUAGAUAUGCGGAGGAACACCGAUGGCGAAGGCAAUCCCCUGGGCCUGCACUGACGCUCAUGCACGAAAGCGUGGGGAGCAAACAGGAUAGAA
rnacentral:rRNA from 1 species